rnacentral:rRNA from 1 species
UCAGCCCUAAACACAAAUAAUUUUAAAAACAAAAUUAUUCGCCAGAGUACUACCGGCAACAGCCUAAAACUCAAAGGACUUGGCGGUGCUUUAUACCCUUCUAGAGGAGCCUGUUCUAUAAUCGAUAAACCCCGAUAAACCUCACCAAUUCUUGCUAAUACAGUCUAUAUACCGCCAUCUUCAGCAAACCCUAAAAAGGAACAAAAGUAAGCGCAAUCAUAACAUAUAAAAACGUUAGGUCAAGGUGUAACCUAUGAAAUGGGAAGAAAUGGGCUACAUUUUCUACUUCAAGAAAACCUACAUACGAAAGCUAUUAUGAAACUAAUAACCAAAGGAGGAUUUAGUAGUAAACUAAGAAUAGA